ensembl:lncRNA
AUGUGCUAUGUACCAGCUGGGGUACACUCACUCAUCUCUUAUCCUCUCCUCUUUCCUGGCUCCAGUCCUCACAGCUCCCUGGCUAAUGAGUCAAGCAGUGAUGGAGUCAGGCCCACAGUGGGGAUUCAACCAUACAAGAAGAGUGAUGUUGUGCUGCAGACCUCUUGCCUGGGUGGCCUCAACCUUGUCCAGUGUUUAUGGAGUACUUCCUUCCUGGCAGGUCACCAGCAUUUACCUCCACCUCAUAAAAGAGCAGAGGGCUUGUUUCUGACUCCUCUCAGAGUGAGCUGCAACUCACUGGCUGUGCAAGCCCAGGUGAGUGACUUAGCUUGUCUAGGCCCUAGUUUCUUUACCAACAAGGAGUGAAAACACAGCUGAUUCUUGUUAUUCGGGGUAGUCAUGUUCUGUAAAGUAGCUUGGAACACUGAAUUAGCAUGUGUGUGUGUGUGUGUGUGCGUGCGCGCUCAGUCGCUUGGAACACUGAAUUAGCGUGUGUGUGUGUGUGUGUGUGUGUGUGUGCGCGUGUGCGUGUGCGCGCGCGCGCUCAAUCGCUUAGCUGUAUCUGACUCUUUGCAACACUAUGGACUAUAGACUGCCGGGCUCCUCUGUCCAUGAGAUUUUCCAGGCAAAAAUACUGGAGCAGGUUGCCAUUCCCUUCUCCAGGGGAUCUUCCUGCCCCAGGGAUUGAACCUGCAUCUCCUGCAUUGGGAGAUGGAUUCUUUACCACUGAGUCACCUGGGAAGCCUUUUGUGAGCCUCUGAUCACAUUUUUUUCAGUUGAUCAAACUUAACCUUGUUUUAUGUGUAUUUCUGCUCAGAUACAUUGCUUGAUAUAUAUUGUUCAUUCAAAAUUGACGCAACUGCUCUAACACACCUGUUUUCUCUGUAAUGCACAUCACAACUUUCUUGCAGUUAGAGAGCACUUCAGCACGAUGUUUGGGGCCAUUUGAAAGAGCUAAAUCACUCACAAAAAGCACAAAAUUGUGAAGAGCCCUGCACUAGAUGGAUCAUGGAAAGGACAUGUUAACAGUGUGAGCUGAAACAGGAGGGUGGAGCAUCGGUCGGCUUGCUGGACUUCAGCUGGGAAUUUGCAUGUGGGGCCACUCUUCGAAUGUCCACCAGCGACCCUGAAGGCGUGGUAAGCAUUGAUGGGGGUUAUAUAUUUCUUUUUCCCCCUCUUUUAUUUGUAAAUAUUUAUUUUUUAAUUGAGGGAUAAUUGCUUAUAGAAUUUUGUUUUUUUUUUCUGUCAAACCUCAACAUGAAUCAGCCAUAGGUAUACAUAUAUUGCCUCCCUUUCGAACCUCCCUCGCAUCUCCCUCCCCAUCCCACCCCUAUAGGUUGAUACAGAGCCCUUGUUUGGGUUUCUGGAGACAUACAGCAAAUUCCUGUUGGCUAUCUAUUUUACAUAUGGGAAUGUAAGUUUCCAUGUUAGCCUCUCCACACAUCUCACCCUCUCCUCCUCUCUCCCUGUGUCUAUUCUCUAUGUCUGUUUCUCCACUGCUGCUGCUGCUAAGUCACUUCAGUCGUGUCCGACUCUGUGUGACCCCAUAGAUGGCAGCCCACCAGGCUCUGCCAUCCCUGGGAUUCUCCAGGCAAGAACACUGGAGUGGGUCCUGCAAAUAAAUUCUUCAGUACCAUGUAUGUGCA